GCCGAGAACCAAAUCACCUGGACUUUGCCCGAUCCUGUUAGAUCUUGGAAGCUAAGAAGGCCUGGGCCUGGAUCGUGCUAGGAUGGGUGACCGCCGUGCAUUGAAUGGGUGCUGUCGGCU
rnacentral:rRNA from 1 species